AUUGAACGCUGGCGGCAUGCCUAACACAUGCAAGUCGAACGAGUGGCGGACGGGUGAGUAAUGUCUCGGAAAGUGCCUGAUGGAGGGGGAUAACUACUGGAAACGGUAGCUAAUACCGCAUACCAUCGGAUGUGCCCAGAUGGGAUUAGCUAGUUGGUGGGGUAACGGCUCACCAAGGCGACGAUCCCUAGCUGGUCUGAGCGGAUGACCAGCCACACUGGAACUGAGACACGGUCCAGACUCCUACGGGAGGCAGCAGUGGGGAAUAUUGGACAAUGGGGGCAAGCCUGAUGCAGCCAUGCCGCGUGUAUGAAGAAGGCCUUCGGGUUGUAAAGUACUUUCGGCGGGGAGGCGGUAUCCGCAGAAGAAGCACCGGCUAACUCCGUGCCAGCAGCCGCGGUAAUAC
rnacentral:rRNA from 1 species